CCUACGGGGGGCGGCAGUGGGGAAUAUUGCACAAUGGGCGCAAGCCUGAUGCAGCAACGCCGCGUGAGCGAAGAAGGUCUUCGGAUCGUAAAGCUCUGUCCUUAGGGAAGAAACAAAUGACGGUACCUGAGGAGGAAGCCCCGGCUAACUACGUGCCAGCAGCCCCGGUC
rnacentral:rRNA from 1 species